GCCGUCCUGGUGGUCGGCUCCGGAUCGUCCGGCGUGCAGAUCGCCGACGAACUCCGCCGGUCGGGUCGGCGGGUGUUCCUAUCGGUCGGGCCGCAC
rnacentral:tRNA from 1 species